rnacentral:tRNA from 1 species
GCCUUUGUGGUGUAGUGGUCAGCACACUCGACGUGUAUUCGAGAGGUCCGUGGUUCGAAUCCCGGCGAGGGCA